rnacentral:tRNA from 1 species
GCGGAUAUGGCGGAACUGGCAGACGCGCUAGCUUCAGGUGCUAGUUGGGGCAACUCAGUGCAGGUUCGAUUCCUGUUAUCCGCACCA